rnacentral:rRNA from 1 species
AGAGUUUGAUCCUGGCUCAGAACGAACGUUAGCGGCGCGCUUAACACAUGCAAGUCGCACGAGAAAGGGCUUCGGCCCCGGUAAAGUGGCGCACGGGUGAGUAACACGUGGAUAAUCUUCCCUUGAGCGGGGGAUAACAUUCCGAAAGGAGUGCUAAUACCGCAUAAGACCACGUCCUCGAAAGAGGAUGAGGUAAAAGCCGGCCUCUAUACAUAAGCUGGCACUCGAGGAUGAGUCCGCGGCCCAUCAGCUAGUUGGCAGGGUAACGGCCUACCAAGGCAACGACGGGUAGCUGGUCUGAGAGGAUGAUCAGCCACACUGGAACUGACACACGGUCCAGACUCCUACGGGAGGCAGCAGUGGGGAAUCUUGCGCAAUGGACGAAAGUCUGACGCAGCGACGCCGCGUGGGUGAUGAAGGCCUUCGGGUUGUAAAGCUCUGUGGGGCGGGACGAAUAAGUGUAGCCUAAUACGCUGCAUGAUGACGGUACCGCCUUAGCAAGCACCGGCUAACUCUGUGCCAGCAGCCGCGGUAAGACAGAGGGUGCAAACGUUGUUCGGAAUUACUGGGCGUAAAGCGUGUGUAGGCGGCUAUGCAAGUCGGAUGUGAAAGCCCCAGGCUUAACCUGGGAAGUGCACCCGAAACUGCAUGGCUUGAGUAUCGGAGAGGUUGGUGGAAUUCUCGGUGUAGAGGUGAAAUUCGUAGAUAUCGAGAGGAACACCGGUGGCGAAAGCGGCCAACUGGACGAAUACUGACGCUGAGACACGAAAGCGUGGGGAGCAAACAGGAUUAGAUACCCUGGUAGUCCACGCCGUAAACGAUGGGUGCUAGGUGUCACGGGCUUUGACUCCUGUGGUGCCGUAGCCAACGCAUUAAGCACCCGCCUGGGAAGUACGGCCGCAAGGCUAAACUCAAAGGAAUUGACGGGGCCCGCACAAGCGGUGGGAGUAUG